CGGAGGAGCUAGCGUUGUUCGGAAUUACUGGGCGUAAAGCGUACGUAGGCGGUUAUUCAAGUCAGAGGUGAAAGCCUGGAGCUCAACUCCAGAACUGCCUUUGAAACUAGAUAGCUAGAAUCUUGGAGAGGUGAGUGGAAUUCCGAGUGUAGAGGUGAAAUUCGUAGAUAUUCGGAAGAACACCAGUGGCGAAGGCGACUCACUGGACAAGUAUUGACGCUGAGGUACGAAAGCGUGGGAGCAAACAGGAUU
rnacentral:rRNA from 1 species